rnacentral:rRNA from 1 species
AUGGUACUCUAUCUACAUACUCUUACAAGAAACAACCAACGAGUUAUGGGAACACAUGGACAUGAAGCUACGGCGGCGACGAAGACGAUAUCGACAUGGGGCUGCGGCGACGAUGAUGACGACGACAUCGACAUCGACACAGGGCUACGGCGGCGACGAAGACGACGACAUCAUCAUGGCGCUGCGGUGGCGGCGGCGAUGACGACAUCAACACCAUCAACACGGCCUUGUGGAGGCGCCGACGUCGACGACAUCAACACGGCCUUGUGGAGGCACCGACGUCGACGACAUCAACACGGCCUUGUGGAGGCGCCGACGUCGACGACAUAG